CACGUAGGCACCGAGCGUUGUCCGGAUUUAUUGGGCGUAAAGAGCUCGUAGGCGGUUGAGUAAGUCGGGUGUGAAAACUCUGGGCUUAACCCAGAGCCGCCACCCGAUACUGCUCUGACUUGAGUUCGGUAGGGGAGCAGGGAAUUCCUAGUGUAGCGGUGAAAUGCGCAGAUAUUAGGAGGAACACCGGUGGCGAAGGCGCUGCUCUGGGCCGAUACUGACGCUGAGGAGCGAAAGCGUGGGUAGCAAACAGG
rnacentral:rRNA from 1 species